AAUGACUGAUCGCGCAAAAAAUAGUGUUAAACGUUGACAUUGGAUGAAAGUUUAACAUGUCCAAAAAACGAUGAUCGCAAUAGCGGUCUGGCUCGAACUAGGAAGCUAAAAAUAUGCUCCCAUCACCAUGCAGAAACACCAUAAAAAGCUGCUGUUAAAAAAAUUUAUUUUGAAGAUAUAUUCAGUGUUCCAGACAACAUCCCCUAAUGCUUUAAUUCAGAUGGUAGGGAAUAAUCAUGAAAUUGAAGAGCGGACUACAGAGUUGGGCAUGGAUUCAAUUAAAUCUUUAGAACUUCGAUGUUAAAUUUGAUACUUUACGACAUUUCAAGUAUGCCAAUAUUAGUUGUGGCUAUACGUUUGCAGUUUUCAAACAUGAAAUGCUGACGUAGUAGCUUCAUUUUUAAAUUUUAGGUUUCAGCAUUUAAUCAAGUCUUAAUCUUUAAAUUUCAAGUUUAAGCUUGCAAAUGUACU